rnacentral:ribozyme from 1 species
ACGAGCCCCUGCACUCUGCAAUGGAAUCGGAUCCGAAGCCCCCCGAGGGAUAAUACAGGCUCUCCCAUCCAACUCCUAUUUCGACACGUCCUCGUCGUGCAGAGUGGUAAAAUGUGCCUCCAUAUAUCCUAGCUUGGUUACGCGCGCAUCCCCUUGGGCGGAUGGUGGCAUAUGGCAAACCAGGAGGGG